rnacentral:rRNA from 1 species
UACGGAGGAGGCAAGCGUUAUCCGGAAUUAUUGGGCGUAAAGCGUCCGCAGGCGGCCCUUCAAGUCUGUCGUCAAAGACUGGGGCUUAACCCUGGAAAGGCGGUGGAAACUGAAGCGCUAGAGUGCGGUAGGGGUAGAGGGAAUUCCCGGUGUAGCGGUGAAAUGCGUAGAGAUCGGGAAGAACAUCGGUGGCGAAAGCGCUCUACUGGACCGCAACUGACACUCAGGGACGAAAGCUAGGGGAGCGAAUGGG